GUUUAAUUAAGAUUUUCUUAUCCCCUGCUAUGUUAAUAGCUUGCUAGGCCCUGCAAGAGCCUCCUGUAUGUGACUAAAGUUCAAUUUAGAGAUUGAGAUACCAUUAUUUAAGGUAAAUUACAUCUGUUUGAAAGUGAAACCAGUUUUUUUUUUUUUUUUUUUCAUGCAGGCUCUGUCAAUCAUAGCCAGGGGUGGUGUGGCUAGGGCUGCAUAAACAGAAACAAAGUGAUUUAAC